rnacentral:lncRNA from 1 species
CAUAUGUAUUCAACAAUGAAAAUAAACUUUAACAUUUAAACUAGAGUACCGAAACACAAAACCCUAGGAACUUCUUGAUGAUUACAAUCAAACGAUCAAAAACAUACAUAACAGAAAGGACUAGAAGUCAUAUACCAAUGAAAAGACCAUGAUCUGGUAAUAUUGAGACCUCUACGAGAAUCCAAAAUAGAAGCCCUUCAACGGUGAUCCACGCAGGA